GCGAUCUUCUUCGGAAGAGAGCGGCGGACGGGUGAGUAACGCGUGGGUAACCUGCCCUGUACACACGGAUAACAUACCGAAAGGUAUGCUAAUACGAGAUAAUAUGCUUUUGUCGCAUGGUAGAAGUAUCAAAGCUCCGGCGGUACAGGAUGGACCCGCGUCUGAUUAGCUAGUUGGUAAGGUAACGGCUUACCAAGGCGACGAUCAGUAGCCGACCUGAGAUGGUGAUCGGCCACAUUGGAACUGAGACACGGUCCAAACUCCUACGGGAGGCAGCAGUGGGGAAUAUUGCACAAUGGGCGAAAGCCUGAUGCAGCAACGCCGCGUGAGCGAUGAAGGCCUUCGGGUCGUAAAGCUCUGUCCUCAAGGAAGAUAAUGGCGGUACUUGAGGAGGAAGCCCCGGCUAACUACGUGCCAGCAGCCGCGGUAAUACGUAGGGGGCUAGCGUUAUCCGGAAUUACUGGGCGUAAAGGGUGCGUAGGUGGUUUCUUAAGUCAGAGGUGAAAGGCUACGGCUCAACCGUAGUAAGCCUUUGAAACUGGGAAACUUGAGUGCAGGAGAGGAGAGUGGAAUUCCUAGUGUAGCGGUGAAAUGCGUAGAUAUUAGGAGGAACACCAGUUGCGAAGGCGGCUCUCUGGACUGUAACUGACACUGAGGCACGAAAGCCAGGGGAGCAAACGGGAUUAGAUACCCCGGUAGUCCUGGCCCUAAACGGUGCGUACUUGCUGUAAGCGGAUUCGACCCCGCUUGUGGCGAAGUUAACACGAUAAGUACGCCGCCUGGGAAGUACGGUCGCAAGAU
rnacentral:rRNA from 1 species